CCUACGGGAGGCAGCAGUGGGGAAUAUUGGACAAUGGGGGGAACCCUGAUCCAGCGACGCCGCGUGAGUGAAGAAGUAUUUUGGUAUGUAAAGCUCUAUCAGCAGGGAAGAAAAUGACGGUACCUGACUAAGAAGCCCCGGCUAACUACGUGCCAGCAGCCGCGGUAAUACGGAGGGUGCAAGCGUUAUCCGGAUUUACUGGGUGUAAAGGGAGCGUAGACGGUGCAGCAAGUCGGAUGUGAAAGGUCAGGGCCGAACCACGGGACUGCAUUGGAAACUGUUGAACUGGAGUACAGGAGAGGUAAGUGGAAUGCCUAGUGUAGCGGUAAAAUGCGUAGAGAUUAGGAGGAAUA
rnacentral:rRNA from 1 species